GAUUGGGAUUGGGUUCGUUGGAGUAUAGUUGAGGUUCCAUUGAGUUUGUUGACCAGAAUUAGGUAAAUUUUAAUUUCAUAUGUAUAUAUCCAUCCGAUCCUUAUUUAACGAUUAUUGAAGAAUCAAGGCCUUAAGGAUUGUUAUAGUUGAGAUAUUUGGUUAUUAGGAAAGUUUACACGAAGAAGAUAUCCACAGGGAUCAGUAAGAGGGUAACGUGUGAAAUGAGACAACUAACAGAAGAGCUCUCCUCUUGAAGAAGAUAGGGAGGUUGAACCAAUAAGGAUAAACUACUUUAUUAAUUAGCCUAAUUUAUUUAAAUGAAUUUUGAGAUUAGUCCUAUCGUAUUCAACUCUCACUAUCCACAAAACGUCAGGAGUUUUAUACUUUUUUUUUG
rnacentral:lncRNA from 1 species